UACAGAGGGGGCAAGCGUUGUUCGGAAUUACUGGGCGUAAAGGGCGCGUAGGCGGCCUCCUAAGUCGAACGUGAAAUCCCCGGGCUCAACCCGGGAACUGCGUCCGAGACUGGGGGGCUGGAAUCCGGGAGAGGGAUGUGGAAUUCCAGGUGUAGCGGUGAAAUGCGUAGAUAUCUGGAGGAACACCGGUGGCGAAGGCGGCAUCCUGGACCGGCAUUGACGCUGAGGCGCGAAAGCCAGGGGAGCAAACGGG
rnacentral:rRNA from 1 species